UGGGGAAUCUUGGACAAUGGGGGCAACCCUGAUCCAGCCAUGCCGCGUGAGUGAUGAAGGCCUUAGGGUCGUAAAGCUCUUUCGCCUGUGAAGAUAAUGACGGUAGCAGGUAAAGAAACCCCGGCUAACUCCGUGCCAGCAGCCGCGGUAAUACGGAGGGGGUUAGCGUUGUUCGGAAUUACUGGGCGUAAAGCGCACGUAGGCGGACCAGAAAGUUGGGGGUGAAAUCCCGGGGGCUCAACCCCGGAACUGCCUCCAAAACUAUUGGUCUAGAGUUCGAGAGAGGUGAGUGGAAUUCCAAGUGUAGAGGUGAAAUUCGUAGAUAUUUGGAGGAACACCAGUGGCGUAAGGCGGCUCACUGGCUCGAUACUGACGCUGAGGUGCGAAAGUGUGGGGAGCAAACAGGAUUAGAUA
rnacentral:rRNA from 1 species